GGUCAAGUGAAUAAGUGCAUCUGGUGAAUGCCUAGGCAGCUGAAGGCGAUGAAGGACGUUGUUGCCCUGCGAUAAGCCUCGGGGAGUCGGCAAACAGACUAUGAUCCGGGGAUUUCCGAAUGGGGAAACCCAAUACGCUUGCGUAUUAUCUCACACUGAAUACAUAGGUGUGUGAAGCAAACCCGGCGAACUGAAAUAUCUAAGUAACCGGAGGAAAAGACAUCAACCGAGAUUUCCUCAGUAGUGACGAACGAAAGGGAAAUAGCCCGUAAGCCGCCGAUCCGUUAGUAAAAGUCAUCUGGAAAGUGACACCAUAGAAGGUGAUAGUCCUGUAUACGAAAACGGAACGGUGGUGAAAUCGAGUAGGGCGGGGCACGUGAAACCCUGUCUGAAUGUGGGGGGACCAUCCUCCAAGGCUAAAUACUCUCAGCUGACCGAUAGUGAACAAGUACCGUGAGGGAAAGGUGAAAAGUACCCCGAGAGGGGAGUGAAAUAGUACCUGAAACCGGAUGCAUACAAGCAGUAGGAGCGACUUCGGUCGUGACUGCGUACCUUUUGUAUAAUGGGUCAGCGACUUACUCUUGCUGGCAAGGUUAACCGUUUAGGGGAGCCGUAGGGAAACCGAGUCUGAAUAGGGCGAAUAAGUCUGUAGGAGUAGACCCGAAACCGGGCGAUCUAACCAUGGGCAGGGUGAAGGUCAGGUAACACUGACUGGAGGCCCGAACCCACCUAUGUGAAGAAUGGGGGGAUGACCUGUGGUUAGGAGUGAAAGGCUAAUCAAGCCCGGAGAUAGCUGGUUCUCCUCGAAAACUAUUUAGGUAGUGCCUCUCAUAUCACCAUUGGGGGUAGAGCACUGUUUGGGCUAGGGGGCCUUCUCGGCUUACCAACCCCAUGCAAACUCCGAAUACCAAUGAGUGCGGUGAGGGAGACAGACGGCGGGUGCUAAGGUCCGUCGUCGAAAGGGAAACAGCCCAGACCGACAGCUAAGGUCCCCAAGUUAUGUGUUAAGUGGGAAACGAAGUAAGAAUUCCCAGACAGCCAGGAGGUUGGCUUAGAAGCAGCCAUCCUUUAAAGAAAGCGUAAUAGCUCACUGGUCGAGAAAUCUUGCACGGAAGAUUUAACGGGGCUAAACCAUACACCGAAGCUUCGGACUUCCAGGUAACUGGGAGUGGUAGAGGAGCGUUCUGUACGCCGUUGAAGGUAUUUUGUGAGAAAUGCUGGAGGUAUCAGAAGUGAGAAUGCUGACAUGAGUAACGAUCAAGGGGGUGAAAAUCCUCCUCGCCGAAUGACUAAGGGUUCCUGUGCCACGUUCAUCAACACAGGGUGAGUCGGUACCUAAGGCGAGGCCGAAAGGCGUAGUCGAUGGAUAGCUGGUCAACAUUCCAGCACCGACAUGUAUAGCGAUGGGGUGACGGAGAAGGCUAAACGAUCCUGGCGAUGGUAGUCCAGGUUUAAGCGUGUAGGUUGGAAUCCUUGUUAAAUGCGGGGUUCCUUAAGACUGAGGCGUGAUGACGAAAUUGUCCUAACGGACUUUGAAGUCGUUGAUGCCAUGCUUCCAAGAAAACCCUCUAAGCUCAUAUGCAUGUUGACCGUACCCGAAACCGACACAGGUAGUCAAGUAGAGAAUACUAAGGCGCUUGAGAGAACUCAGGUGAAGGAACUAGGCAAAAUAGCACCGUAACUUCGGGAGAAGGUGCGCCGCAGCUGGUGAAGGAUCUUGCAUCCGGAGCUGGAGGCGGUCGAAGAUACCAGGUGGCUGCGACUGUUUAUCAAAAACACAGCACUCUGCAAACUCGAAAGAGGACGUAUAGGGUGUGACGCCUGCCCGGUGCUUGAAAGUUAAAGGAUCAGGUUAGACUUAGGUCGAAGCUUGUGAUUGAAGCUCAAGUAAACGGCGGCCGUAACUAUAACGGUCCUAAGGUAGCGAAAUUCCUUGUCGGGUAAGUUCCGACCUGCACGAAUGGCGUAACGAUGGCCACACUGUCUCCACCUGAGACUCAGUGAAAUUGAAUUUGCGGUGAAGAUGCCGUAUACCCGCGGCUAGACGGAAAGACCCCGUGAACCUUUACUAUAGCUUCACACUGGAUUUUGAUUUAGUUUGUGUAGGAUAGGUGGGAGACUAUGAAGCAGUGGCGCUAGUUGCUGUGGAGUCAACCUUGAAAUACCACCCUGACUACGUUGGAGUUCUAACUCAGGCCUAUUGAUCUAGGUCGAGGACAGUGUGUGGUGGGUAGUUUGACUGGGACGGUCUCCUCCUAAAGAGUAACGGAGGAGCACGAAGGUGCACUCAGCAUGGUCGGAAAUCAUGCGGUGCGUGUAAAGGCAGAAGUGCGCUUGACUGUGAGACCGACGGGUCGAGCAGGGUCGAAAGACGGUCUUAGUGAUCCUUUGGUCCUGAAUGGAAGGGCCGAAGCUUAACGGAUAAAAGGUACUCCGGGGAUAACAGGCUGAUACCGCCCAAGAGUUCACAUCGACGGCGGUGUUUGGCACCUCGAUGUCGGCUCAUCACAUCCUGGGGGAGGAGCAUCUCCCAAGGGUAUGGCUGUUCGCCAUUUAAAGUGGUGCGCGAGCUGGGUUCAGAACGUCGUGAGACAGUUCGGUCCCUAUCUACCGUGGGCGUUUGAGAUUUGAGAGGAGCUACUCCUAGUACGAGAGGACCGGAGUGGACGAACCUCUGGUGUUCCGGUUGUCACGCCA
rnacentral:rRNA from 1 species